rnacentral:rRNA from 1 species
UAUUGGACAAUGGGGGCAACCCUGAUCCAGCCAUGCCGCGUGUGUGAAGAAGGUCUUCGGAUUGUCAAGCACUUUAAGUUGUGAGGAAGGGCUUUAGGUUAAUACCCUGAAGUUUUGACGUUACCAACAGAAUAAGCACCGGCGAACUACGUGCCAGCAGCCGCGGUAAUACGAAGGGUGCAAGCGUUAAACGGAAUUACUGGGCGUAAAGCGUGCGUAGGUGGUUUGUUAAGUUGGAAGUGAAAGCCCCGGGCUCGACCAGGGAACUGCUUUCAUAACUGCUGGGCUAGAGUACGGUAGAGGGUAGUGGAAUUUCCUGUGUAGCGGUGAAAUGCGUAGAUAUAGGAAGGAACACCAGUGGCGAAGGAGAAUACCUGGACUGAUACUGACACUGAGGUGCGAAAGCGUGGGGAGCAAAC